AACGAACGCUGGCGGCAGGCUUAACACAUGCAAGUCGAGCGCCCCGCAAGGGGAGCGGCAGACGGGUGAGUAACGCGUGGGAAUCUACCCAUCUCUACGGAAUAACGCAUGGAAACGUGUGCUAAUACCGUAUACGUCCUUCGGGAGAAAGAUUUAUCGGAGAGGGAUGAGCUGGCGUUGGAUUAGCUAGUGGGUGGGGUAAAGGCCUACCAAGGCGACGAUCCAUGGCUGGUCUGAGGGGUUGAUCCGCCACACUGGGACUGAGACACGGCCCAGACUGCUACGGGAGGCAGCAGUGGGGAAUAUUGGACAGUGGGCGCAAGGCUGAUCCAGCCAUGCCGCGUGAGUGAUGAAGGCCCUAGGGUUGUAAAGCUCUUUCACCGGUGAAGAUAAUGACGGUAACCGGAGAAGAAGCCCCGGCUAACUUCGUGCCAGCCGCCGCAGUAAGAC
rnacentral:rRNA from 1 species